UGGGUUUGACAUAUACCGGAAAGCCGUAGAGAUACGGCCCCCCUUGUGGUCGGUAUACAGGUGGUGCAUGGCUGUCGUCAGCUCGUGUCGUGAGAUGUUGGGUUAAGUCCCGCAACGAGCGCAACCCUUGUCCUGUGUUGCCAGCGCGUAAUGGCGGGGACUCGCAGGAGACUGCCGGGGUCAACUCGGAGGAAGGUGGGGAUGACGUCGGAGGAAUUCCA
rnacentral:misc_RNA from 1 species